rnacentral:rRNA from 1 species
UACGGAGGGGACUAGCGUUGUUCGGAAUUACUGGGCGUAAAGCGCACGUAGGCGGAUUUGUAAGUCAGGGGUGAAAUCCCGGGGCUCAACCUCGGAACUGCCUUUGAUACUGCAAAUCUCGAGUCCGGAAGAGGUGAGUGGAAUUCCUAGUGUAGAGGUGAAAUUCGUAGAUAUUAGGAAGAACACCAGUGGCGAAGGCGACUUACUGGACACAUAUUGACGCUGAGGUGCGAAAGCGUGGGGAGCAAACAGG